rnacentral:rRNA from 1 species
GAUGAMCGCUAGCGCCAGGCUUAACMCAUGCAAGUCGAGGGGUAUAGUAGCAAUACUAGAGACCGCCGCACGGGUGCGUAACGCGUAUGCAAUCUMCCUUUUACAGAGGGAUAGCCCAGAGAAAUUKGGAUUAAUACCUCAUAGUAUAGUGACUSGGCAUCGAGAUAUUAUUAAAGUUACAACGGUAAAAGACGAGCAUGCGUCCCMUUAGCUAGUUGGUAAGGUAACGGCUUACCAAGGCGACGAUGGGUAGGGGUCCUGAGAGGGAGAUCCCCCCCMCUGGUACUGAGMCMCGGMCCAGACUCCUMCGGGAGSCACCAGUGAGGAAUAUUGGCCAAUGGGCSCAASCCUGAUCCASCCAUSCCGCGUSCAGGAAGMCGGUCCUAUGGAUUGUAAACUGCUUUUGUMCGGGAAGAAMCACCAGUUCGUGAACUGCCUUGACGGUACCGUAAGAAUAAGGAUSGGCUAACUCCGCC